UGCCUUGCCAACGACACUUUGGACCUCACCACUCGAUUUCGAUUGUCAGUAUGUCUAACUAAAUGCUUCGAUCCAGCUUAAAAGCAGACACUCCGUUCUCGCUGAGUUUAUAGAAUGGUGAAUAUGUACUGCGGCAAUGUCUACGCUCGGGUAGGCAAUGUAGUGGCAUAUUUAGGAUGCCUAUGCAGAAUUAUACCUCAGUCCGGGUGUGACGGUUAAUUUCAUAAAGGCUGCAAUAAUCCACUACUGCGUACGCCUUAACAUCAAAUCGGUUGUGGCUUAGGUGAGGACGCCAGUCGUACUGCUACUCUCGUGUUGUAUUUUGAGGACGUAGUGAUGGCGGGAUAAAAUGAAGGACGUAAGGAGAAGAGCUCCAGUCAACACGAGAUCGCGCUUCGGAUUGGAGUGAGGGAUUGAGGAGCUAGAGGAUGUAACUGGUUACCUGGCCGCAACCUGAGCUGCCUUUCCCCGCAUUCAGGAGAAGGUGGAACGAUGGAAAGGGACCACGCCACAGUGUCUACAUAUGGAUUUUCGGCGUAGCAAAUUUCAACAACGUUUGAUCGGAGUA
rnacentral:lncRNA from 1 species